rnacentral:rRNA from 1 species
AGCGAACGCUGGCGGCAGGCCUAACACAUGCAAGUCGAACGAACCUUUCGGGGUUAGUGGCGGACGGGUGAGUAACACGUGGGAACGUGCCUUUAGGUUCGGAAUAACUCAGGGAAACUUGUGCUAAUACCGAAUGUGCCCUUCGGGGGAAAGAUUUAUCGCCUUUAGAGCGGCCCGCGUCUGAUUAGCUAGUUGGUUGAGGUAAUGGCUCACCAAGGCGACGAUCAGUAGCUGGUCUGAGAGGAUGAUCAGCCACAUUGGGACUGAGACACGGCCCAAACUCCUACGGGAGGCAGCAGUGGGGAAUCUUGCGCAAUGGGCGAAAGCCUGACGCAGCCAUGCCGCGUGAAUGAUGAAGGUCUUAGGAUUGUAAAAUUCGUUCACCGGGGACGAUAAUGACGGUACCCGGAGAAGAAGCCCCGGCUAACUUCGUG